rnacentral:rRNA from 1 species
AACGUAGGAGACAAACGUUAUCCGGAGUUACUGGGCGUAAAGGGCGUGUAGGCGGCCUGCUAAGUCUGAUGUGAAAUCCCCUCGCUCAACGAGGGAACUGCGUCGGAUACUGGCAGACUCGAGUACCGGAGAGGAAGGUGGAAUUCCCGGUGUAGCGGUGAAAUGCGUAGAUAUCGGAAGGAACAUCAGUGGCGAAAGCGGCUUCCUGGACCAGAACUGACGAUCAGGCACGAAAGCGUGGGGAGCAAACAGGG